rnacentral:sRNA from 1 species
UGCGCUUCUAUGCGGCCGAGAUCAUCCUGGGCCUGGAGCACAUGCACAACCGCUUCGUGGUCUACCGGGACCUGAAGGGGCACCCACGGGUACAUGGCUCCAGAGGUCCUGCAGAAGGGCGUGGCCUACGACAGCAGUGCCGACUGGUUCUCUCUGGGAUGCAUGCUCUUCAAGUUGCUGCGGGGGCACAGCCCCUUCCGGCAGCACAAGACCAAAGACAAGCAUGAGAUCGACCGCAUGACGCUGACGAUGGCCGUGGAGCUGCCCGACUCCUUCUCCCCUGAAUUACGCUCCCUGCUGGAGGGGUUGCUGCAGAGGGAUGUCAACCGGAGACUGGGCUGCCUGGGCCGAGGGGCUCAGGAGGUGAAAGAGAGCCCCUUUUUCCGCUCCUUGGACUGGCAGAUGGUCUUCUUGCAGAAGGUAACAGUCUGCGGCAGGGACUCGGGGUACUCUGCAGCCCCACCCCCGAGCUAAUGCCCAUGAUCCUUGUUCUGCUGCAGUACCCUCCCCCGCUGAUCCCCCCACGAGGGGAGGUGAACGCAGCCGACGCCUUCGACAUUGGCUCCUUCGAUGAGGAGGACACAAAAGGAAUCAAGUUACUGGACAGUGAUCAGGAGCUCUACCGCAACUUCCCCCUCACCAUCUCGGAGCGGUGGCAGCAGGAGGUGGCAGAGACUGUCUUCGACACCAUCAAUGCUGAGACAGACCGGCUGGAGGCUCGCAAGAAAGCCAAGAACAAGCAGCUGGGCCAUGAGGAAGACUACGCCCUGGGCAAGGACUGCAUCAUGCACGGCUACAUGUCCAAGAUGGGCAACCCCUUCCUGACCCAGUGGCAGCGGCGGUACUUCUACCUGUUCCCCAACCGCCUCGAGUGGCGGGGCGAGGGCGAGGCCCCGGUAAGGAGCCCGUGCGGGGGUCCGGGAGCCGGGCUUCCGGGUAGCUGGCCGGCCCGGCUCUUACCUGCACCACCCAUCCCUGGCCCUGCAGCAGAGCCUGCUGACCAUGGAGGAGAUCCAGUCGGUGGAGGAGACGCAGAUCAAGGAGCGCAAG